rnacentral:lncRNA from 1 species
CUACUUUGUCAACAACUUUCUGGGACUUUCCCUCAUUGAAUCAGAAGGGAUGCCUGGCCAUUUUAUCUGGCCCUGAGGUAAUGCUAAAGGAAAGAAGAGUGAAACCCAGAGCUGCCUUACUAAUGCCAUUACAGUAGAUUACAAGAAUACAAGCUUCAGGAGUGUGAGGUUUUACUGUAUUUUGAUUACAAGGACUAUCCACAGUACCUAGAAGAAUGGCAAUACCUGGCAUAAGAUAAGUACUCAGGAAGCCCAGAGCCAGGAAGGCCCUCUUCCCAAUGGUUGCCUGGUUACAGACUUAGAUGUUCGCCAGGGUAACAUCUGGAAUAAAGAUGCCUUUGAGAAUCUCAUGUAAUGUGAAGGACUCUGCCAAGAAAAUGUCAAAAAGCUACAUAUGUACACAUGGAGUCUGCAUUCAAUUUCAAAAUAUUCCAAGACUCGGCAGAGAACUAUGGAUCCUCAAUUUAGAAACCCUGGAGUACUGGGAGGAUAAAGAUGAGCCAGGUUGCAUUUCUGAAUACAAAAAGGUUGGAGGUGAAGAGUCAGGAGAAAAUGCAAAUGGAAGAAUUGACAACACCGUCCCAAUCCCCACCCUCCAGGACACAUGCUUCCCAGGAAUCCAAGCGACAUUGCUUCUGAGUUUAAUGUUCAGAUUUAGCAAAGCAGGCUUUUGGGGUCCCGUCAACUCUUUAAAAUAUUCAACAAGCCUCCCUUCUCAACUCCCUACCUGUAUUUCUUUCUCCAUGUAGUGCACUACCCACGAUGUGCCUUUAAAGAAACUAUGUCAAUUCACAAUGAACAUGCUGACUGGGAAUUCACUCUUUAAAUGUGUUCACAACUGUGAAUUAUUAAACUUAGGCUAUAGAGAAAAGCUUAUCCUGGUGGUAAAAGAUACUUGGGAUUUUCUGUAAAGCUUCACAGAAUGGCAAGAGUUACUUGAGGAGCAAAACAAAACAUAGUAAUGAAAGAAAACAGCUUCUGGGCUUUCUAAUGUUCCUGUUCUUUCUACAGCCAGUGCCAAAAAUCUCAGGAAUGGGGCUUUGAUCGUUGGAGAACUUUUGUCAACAAAUAAGGCAGUCACAGGAUAAUAAAGCUGAAUCCUUCCUGAAUGUCUCUAAAAUGUUCAUGGUUCUUUCUAGCUUUAUGGUUGGUCACUGCCUGAAGUCAAUCUGCCAUGACCAUGUAGUCUUAUUUUAAAAAUGCAACAGCCCAGUUCACUGGGCUUCCUCACUCCACCUGCCUUCACCAUCACCCUCUCUCCUCCUCCUGCCAUUACCACCCUUAUCUAUCCAUCACACACAUAACCUCUCAAAUUAUCUUUCUAAAACGAAGAUACUGAUCCAAACCUUCCUUUCAGGAGGAGUUCAUCUGCCUAGACCAGCAUUCAGGGCCCUUCUGAUCUAGCUCCUGUUCACUUCACCAACCUCAUGUCCCUUCACCCCUCUUGUUUCCCCAAAGCCUGAGUUUCAGCCACACCACACACCUCAGUCCCUAAGACAUGUUGUCCUCUCUAUGACCUUAGCACACACUGCUGUCUUGUGACUGAAUACCUGGCAAACUCCAAUCUAGUCCUCAAGAUGAACCUCAGCAAUUAUAUCCUCUGGGGUGUCCUCUCCAGUCCCUUCCCCACUCUUGGCAAAGGUAAAUUGUCUUUCGGUACCUACCUUUAAUAGCAUAUAAUAUAGUAACUGUAAUAUGUUGUUUGGGGGAACAGUGUUUAUAGAUUUGUUUCCUUACCCUAGACCAUGAGCUUCAUGAGAGCAACU